UUCAGCCUUGUAGAACUCGAAGAGCUGGGUCAUUUGGUCGUCGAAGCUUGACCGUCGAUUCCUCGAAGCUCGGAAAUGGAUCGCAGUCUAUUCGCAACGCGCAAAGAAUACAAACAGGCACAAGCAAACAUAUACUUGCAUAAGAACAUUACACCAUACAAGAUAAAAUAUUAUAAAACGAGCAAUAUAAAAUAGAGAGUGCUUCUACGGUCACGCGGGGAUAAGGAGCGCGACGAUCGAAGCUACGAUCGAGAAAUUAUAACAUUUACGCUACGCAAGUAAUAGCCAGGACAUUUAAUUCUACAUUAUACAAUAUAAAUUAUAACUGCUAUGUAGUUUUAAAUAAAUAUGCUACACUAAUAGCUGUCAAAUAAAUAAGUAAUUUAAUUAACACAAGAGAUUCUAAGCGGGCGAAAUUAACGACACGCGACAAGAUGCGCGAGGUGCAAAAAUAAUGCGCGAACGAUGCACAGCCACACACGACUUAGUGCGCAGACGACGCGCGGCGAUGCGCAUGAUCCGUAGGCGCGGCACGCGCACACAAUGUGUGACGACGCGUGCGAAACAGCACGCGCGACAGCGGAGUGGAACAAAACGAGCGUAGGCGAGACAAACUAAAUAGGGGACGCGUUUAUACUAAAGAAAUAUUAAACAAAUAAAAAGUAGUUAAGCUAAUAUUAGCCAUGUUAAAUACUAAUUACAACUUUAAAAGCAAUCAGAUUAUAUUUAUAAACAUUGUAUAGGAUUUGCUACAUUUAAGCAGUAAAUCUUUAAAAGGCAUGACACGCAAGGAUCGCUAAUGGUAUCACAUUUAUGCUAAGUGGGUAUUAACUAUAAUACUUAUUUUCAGCAUGAUCAUAUUAGAAGUCAUUUAUAAAAUAUGAAUUAACGCAACUGUUUAGUUUCAAUUAUUUUGAUAUUCUAACAGUUAACUGCUACACAAGUGAUUAAUUAAUAUGAAUGAUCAUAAGCGAAAACAAUUUAAUAACGCACGCGAAAUACGCGUGACGACACGCGACACUAUGUGAAACAGCGCGUGGACGGCACGCGGAACAACGCACAUGACAGCGCAUGUCACGCGCGAGUCAACGCGACUACACGCGCGAACAACACGAUGCCGCACAAGACUCACGAGUCGCUAGCAGACAUCGUGCUUAUACUAAACACUUAUUAAUUAAAACAUUUGAAUAGGCACUAAUCACAUUAACUUGUAUUUAUAAAAGCACAAAUAAACUAUAAAUUAGUUUUAUUUAAAUUGUUAUUCUAAUAAAUAUCGGAUGAACAAAUAAUUAACUAAUUAAUUAAAACUUGUGUCGUGACAAAAUAAUGUUACUAAUAUAUUGACGACAUUAUUAUUAAGCUAACGAUAUGCAAUGAAUCGAAACUGAAUCGUAACACAGAAUAUAUUGAAUAACUAAUAGCUCAUAGAUUAUUUACGAAGUGGCGCACGUGAUCGGUCGGAGCUAAAUCACAUGAAGGGCUACGGAGUUUGCAACCAUAGAAGAUCGUCAUGAGGGAGUUUUGUUUUGGAUGUCGACACAUGCAGGGAAUUGUGCGUGCAGAAGGGGUGCAUGCACAUGCAUGUGUGGGGCCCAAGUGGUUUUCCUCAAAUGCACGUCAAGGGAGUGAAGGAAAAAAAGCCAUGCAUGAGGGUCCCACAGGUGGCAGUUUCUUCUCUGCCUUCUUCAAGCUUUGACGCACGCAAACAACAGAGAGAAAGAAAGGGAGGGAGAUCACGCGCGUGGGGGUUGGGAAGCCUGCUGGUCGGCUGGCCAGGCCGCUACCUGCGUGACAGUGCAGGCUCGCAGACUCGGCUGGCCAUGGCCAGGGAGCAGAGCACGCACGCCGGCAAGGAGGCGAGCAGCGCGCGCCAUGUGAGAGGUCGGCCGCCGCUGCAGGACGGCAAGGGUACAGGGGUGGGGCGACAUCGGCGGGAGGAGGGCCAGCAGGCUGGCCGCGCUAGGCCUCUGACCGCGCCUGUUGGCCGCGCAGGGGGCACGAAGGGGCUAGGGACGAGCAGUGGCAGGGGGCCAUGGCUACUCGGCCGGCGAGCAGCAGCGAUCGCUAGGCGCGGGGUCAGGGACGACCGGACUUGGAGCGACUGGGUGCAACGAGGACUCGACCACGGCCUUGCUGGGCGCUCGCGGGAGGGGCUGGACGCAGCUCGCACCGAAGCUUGGCGCGGCGGCUUGUCAACGGUCGCGCAGCAGUGCGCGCGAGCUGGACGGCUGGCGAGCGCACGCCAGGGGCAGGCAUGGCUAGCGCGCGAGCGUUGAGGAAAGCAGGGCAAGGAGCCCCGAUACUCCGAGGACGAGAUCGGAUCGAAGAAUUUUAUGAGCACGGGCAACAAAGAGGAAAGGGAUGCACCUGGUGAUUCGACUACUGUGGCGUUGUUUUGGUGUAGGAGAUGAACACCGCCUCAGGUGAUAUCGUCGACCUUGAGCCUCGGCUGCUUGGAUGGGCGCUCCUCCGGCGACGACGCAACACAGGGGAGGAAGGACGCAGGGGCGCGGGGUGCUGCUGCGUGGGAAGAAGAGAGAGCGGGUCGCGGCGGUUUCAGCGAGGGAAGAGGCGACGUGGGCGGCAGAAGGACGCAGGGGCGCGGGGUGCUGCUGCGUGGGAAGAAGAGAGAGCGGGUCGCGGCGGUUUCAGCGAGGGAAGAGGCGACGUGGGCGGCGGCUGGGCUUAGGACAUGCGGG
rnacentral:lncRNA from 1 species